rnacentral:tRNA from 1 species
GAGGCUAUAGCUCAGUGAUAGAGUGUGUGCUUCAUAAACAUGAGGCCCUGGAUCUAAUCCCCAGUACCUCCA